rnacentral:rRNA from 1 species
UACGUAGGGUGCGAGCGUUAAUCGGAAUUACUGGGCGUAAAGCGUGCGCAGGCGGUUCGUUAAGUCAGAUGUGAAAGCCCCGGGCUCAACCUGGGAACUGCAUUUGAAACUGGCGGGCUUGAGUGUGGCAGAGGGGGGUGGAAUUCCGCGUGCAGCAGUGAAAUGCGUAGAGAUGCGGAGGAACACCGAUGGCGAAGGCAGCCCCCUGGGCCAACACUGACGCUCAGGCACGAAAGCGUGGGGAGCAAACAGGG